AACCCAAAUUAAUAGACACCCGGCGUAAAGCGUGCCCAAGAAUACUAUACAAUAAGGUUAAACUCUGGCUAAUCUGUAAAAAGUCAUAGCCACCGUAAAAUACACCACGAAAGCAACCUUACAACAUCCCACCGCACGACAGCUAAGACCCAAACUGGGAUUAGAUACCCCACUAUGCUUAGCCUUAAACCUAAAAAUUAUGUAAAACAAAAUUAUUCGCCAGAGUACUACUAGCAAAAGCUUAAAACUCAAAGGACUUGGCGGUGCUUUAUAUCCAUCUAGAGGAGCCUGUUCUAUAAUCGAUAAACCCCGAUAAACCUCACCAACUCUUGCCAAUA
rnacentral:rRNA from 1 species